rnacentral:misc_RNA from 1 species
GAUGAAGACGCAGCGAAAUGCGAUAAGUAAUGUGAAUUGCAGAAUUCAGUGAAUCAUCGAAUCUUUGAACGCACAUUGCGCCCGCCAGUAUUCUGGCGGGCAUGCCUGUUCGAGCGUCAUUUCAACCAUCAAGCCCCCGGCUUGUGUUGGGGACCUGCGGCUGCCGCAGGCCCUGAAAAGCAGUGGCGGGCUCGCUGUCACACCGAGCGUAGUAGCAUACAUCUCGCUCUGGGCGUGCUGCGGGUUCCGGCCGUUAAACCACCUUCAUAACCCAAGGUUGACCUCGGAUCAGGUAGGAAGACCCGCUGAACCUAAGCAUAUCAAUAAGCGGAGGA